GAUGGCAGUGACGACUUGGUAAUAUUCAAGCUCAACAGACCAAAUCACAGGCCAUUCUCACAUGAGAUUGAUCUGUAUGCCGAUUAUCCCGCUGAACCGAGCCAUC